GAGGAUGUGCUUUUUGAACCAUCUAGAUCGACAAAAGGUGAAGCAAAUAGGCAUACUUUAUCAGUAUAGCAAAGGCUAAUGUGAAUAACUAAAUAGUUUAAUUAAAUGCUCCUAAACUGGGCUGGUGCGUUUUGUCGAGUUCAGAGACAAAAACAGUGUUUGACAUGGCAAUGCUGUCUUUUAAGAAACGCUCAGUGACCUGACACACUAGCAC